rnacentral:rRNA from 1 species
UACGGGGGGGGCAAGCGUUGUUCGGAAUUACUGGGCGUAAAGGGCUCGUAGGCGGCCAACUAAGUCAGACGUGAAAUCCCUCGGCUUAACCGGGGAACUGCGUCUGAUACUGGAUGGCCUGAGAUUGGGAGAGGGAUGCGGAAUUCCAGGUGUAGCGGUGAAAUGCGUAGAGAUCGUAAGGAAGACCAGUGGCGAAGGCGAGUCUCUGGAAAGCUGCUGACGCUGAGGCACGAAAGCGUGGGGAGCAAACAGG